rnacentral:rRNA from 1 species
GAGUUUGAUCAUGGCUCAGAACGUACGCUGGCGGCACGCCUAACACAUGCAAGUCGAACGAAGUAGCAAUACUUAGUGGCAGACGGGUGAGUAACAUGUAGGUAUCUGCCCUAUGGCCUGGAAUAACACGAGGAAACUUGUGCUAAUACCGGAUAAGUCUUUACGGAGAAAGCUUUAUGCACCAUUGGAUGAGCCUGCACUUGAUUAGUUUGUUGGUGGGGUAAUGGCCUACCAAGACUGUGAUCAAUAGCUGAUUUGAGAGGAUGAUCAGCCACAUUGGGACUGAGACACGGCCCAAACUCCUACGGGAGGCAGCAGUGGGGAAUCUUGCACAAUGGAGGAAACUCUGAUGCAGCGAUGCCGCGUGAGUGAAGAAGGCCCUUGGGUUGUAAAGCUCUUUCGUCGGGGAAGAAAAUGACUGUACCCGAAUAAGAAGGUCCGGCUAACUUCGUGCCAGCAGCCGCGGUAAUACGAAGGGACCUAGCGUAGUUCGGAAUUACUGGGCUUAAAGAGUUCGUAGGUGGUUGAAAAAGUUGGUGGUGAAAUCCCAGAGCUUAACUCUGGAACUGCCAUCAAAACUUUUCAGCUAGAGUAUGAUAGAGGAAAGCAGAAUUUCUAGUGUAGAGGUGAAAUUCGUAGAUAUUAGAAAGAAUACCAAUUGCGAAGGCAGCUUUCUGGAUCAUUACUGACACUGAGGAACGAAAGCAUGGGUAGCGAAGAGGAUUAGAUACCCUCGUAGUCCAUGCCGUAAACGAUGUGUGUUAGACGUUGGAAAUUUAUUUUCAGUGUCGCAGCGAAAGCGAUAAACACACCGCCUGGGGAGUACGACCGCAAGGUUAAAACUCAAAUGAAUUGACGGGGACCCGCACAAGUAGUGGAGCAUGUGGUUUAAUUCGAAGAUACGCGCAGAACCUUACCAACACUUGACAUGUUCGUCGCGACUCUAAGAGAUUAGAGUUUUCGGUUCGGCCGGACGAAACACAGGUGCUGCAUGGCUGUCGUCAGCUCGUGUCGUGAGAUGUUGGGUUAAGUCCCGCAACGAGCGCAACCCUCACUUUUAGUUGCCAUCAUUAAGUUGGGCACUCUGAAAGAACUGCCAGUGAUAAGCUGGAGGAAGGUGGGGAUGACGUCAAGUCCUCAUGGCCCUUACGUGUUGGGCUACACACGUGCUACAAUGGUAUCUACAACAGGAAGCAAGACGGCGACGUUAAGCAAAUCCUUAAAAGAUACCUCAGUUCGGAUUGCACUCUGCAACUCGAGUGCAUGAAGCUGGAAUUACUAGUAAUCGUGGAUCAGCGUGCCACGGUGAAUGCGU